rnacentral:rRNA from 1 species
GACGAACGCUGGCGGCGUGCUUAACACAUGCAAGUCGAACGGAAAGGCCCUGCUUGCAGGGUACUCGAGUGGCGAACGGGUGAGUAACACGUGGGUGAUCUGCCCUGCACUUCGGGAUAAGCUUGGGAAACUGGGUCUAAUACCGGAUAGGAGCCAUCUUUAGUGUGGUGGUUGGAAAGUUUUUUCGGUGUAGGAUGAGCUCGCGGCCUAUCAGCUUGUUGGUGGGGUAAUGGCCUACCAAGGCGGCGACGGGUAGCCGGCCUGAGAGGGUGUACGGCCACAUUGGGACUGAGAUACGGCCCAGACUCCUACGGGAGGCAGCAGUGGGGAAUAUUGCACAAUGGGUGCAAGCCUGAUGCAGCGACGCCGCGUGGGGGAUGAAGGCCUUCGGGUUGUAAACUCCUUUCGCUAGGGACGAAGCUUUUUUGUGACGGUACCUAGAUAAGAAGCACCGGCUAACUACGUG